rnacentral:rRNA from 1 species
UACGUAGGGUGCAGGCGUUAAUCGGAAUUACUGGGCGUAAAGCGUGCGCAGGCGGUUUCUUAAGUCAGAUGUGAAAGCCCCGGGCUUAACCUGGGAACUGCGUUUGAAACUGGGAGACUAGAGUGUGGCAGAGGGGGGUGGAAUUCCACGUGUAGCAGUGAAAUGCGUAGAUAUGUGGAGGAACACCGAUGGCGAAGGCAGCCCCCUGGGUUAACACUGACGCUCAGGCACGAAAGCGUGGGGAUCAAACAGG